CUGGAGGUAUCAGAAGUGCGAAUGCUGACAUAAGUAACGAUAAAGCGGGUGAAAAGCCCGCUCGCCGGAAGACCAAGGGUUCCUGUCCAACGUUAAUCGGGGCAGGGUGAGUCGACCCCUAAGGCGAGGCCGAAAGGCGUAGUCGAUGGGAAACGGGUUAAUAUUCCCGUACUUGGUGUUACUGCGAAGGGGGGACGGAGAAGGCUAUGUUGGCCGGGCGACGGUUGUCCCGGUUUAAGCGUGUAGGUGUGUGUUCCAGGUAAAUCCGGUUCACUUUAACACUGAGGCGUGACGACGAGGCACUACGGUGCUGAAGCAACAAAUGCCCUGCUUCCAGGAAAAGCCUCUAAGCAUCAGGUAACAUCAAAUCGUACCCCAAACCGACACAGGUGGUCAGGUAGAGAAUACCAAGGCGCUUGAGAGAACUCGGGUGAAGGAACUAGGCAAAAUGGUGCCGUAACUUCGGGAGAAGGCACGCUGACA
rnacentral:rRNA from 2 species